UAAAACCAAACCAAACUGGUUGCCAAUCGAAUUGGGGAUUGGAUUGAUAUCUGGAUCUGGUUUUUCGACCAUUUUCACCGCGUGUCGGUCAUUUGGGAAAAGGCCGGUAGCCGUCUAAGCCAUUGAUUAAGAAAUUCAUGAUAUAUUUGCCUGAGAUAAGACUACGGGCGAAAGGUUUCCAUUUUGGAUUCAAUGCGAGUGGGCAAGAAAAAGAGCAGAGGAGCAAUUGGAAAUAAUGCAGUGAGGACAGAUGAGCACAAAGACAAGGCAAACUGGGCAGUGGGAAAUUGAGAUGCAGGGUCUUAAAACUGGCCAAGUAGAGGCGAGAGGAAAACGGAAAAUGGCGAAAGGGGGCAAGGGGCCGAAAGUUUGGACUGAGCUGCUCUGCCAGCCGGGAAAGUAAGCUGCUUGCCGGAAAACUGCAGUUCGAGGCUUAUAUGCAACCAACUGCAAACUCAAAUGCCAUCAGCUGUCCGGGCAUCUGAACGAGUAUCAGGUGGGCGAAGAAAAAAACACUUUAGCUACAUAUCAACAGUUAAAAUUGC
rnacentral:sRNA from 1 species